GCGGGAAUAGCUCAGUUGGUAGAGCGCAACCUUGCCAAGGUUGAAGUCGCGGGUUCGAGUCCCGUUUCCCGCUCCA
rnacentral:tRNA from 3 species